CAUGCGUCGCCGCGGAAGGCGGGCAGGGUGAACUCAUCCGGAACACUACCAUCAGCCCCAGACAUGCCAGUCCUUGCAAGAUACAUGUGCCAGUGGGAGCCUGUUUCCCAAAGCUGCCUGGUGGAACAGCUGUUGGGCCUAUUCAAAGGGAAGGAUGAAAGUUUUGCAUAGGAGUGUGGCGUGAAUGGAAGAGACCUGCCGCC